GCUUAUUCUCAGGGCGGGGCGAAAUUCCCCACCGGCGGUAAAUCAGCAACAGCUGAAAGCCCGCGAGCGCUUCCGAUCGCCCGAUUGGAAGGUCAGCAGAUCCGGUGUGAUUCCGGGGCCGACGGUUAAAGUCCGGAUGGGAGAGGAUAACG
rnacentral:ncRNA from 2 species